rnacentral:rRNA from 1 species
CUCUAUGGCCACACCACUUUGAAUGUGCCUGAUUUCAUCUGAUCUCAGAAGCUAAACAGGGGCAGGCCUAGUUAGUACUUGAAUGGGAGUGAGCUCAUUCUGAGACUGGGAAAUUUGAGAGA